GUCUCUCUGUACACUCUCCAUUUGCCAACAGUAGACACUGAGAACCACACAUGUCUGAGAUGUUAUCAUCUGGAAGGUGCUAAAUCACUUAACCUGUAAUUGACAUUUCAGCGAAUGAAGGAAUGACUCUAAUUAGGAAGAAAAGAAAUGCCAAUAGAGACGAUGGACAGCACUCCUACUGCAAAAGGAGUAAGAUAAACCCUGACAGCCACGAUUCUAAAGACACAGAGUCUUCAAGCAGCCAUAAUGAAAGGAGCAGUGACCCUAAUAUCCCAGAGACUUCCAGUGAAGCGAGAAACAUCUCAAACUGGACCAUCGCUGAA